GAUGAACGCUCGCGGGAGGCCUAACACAUGCAAGCCGAGCGGUAUUGUUUCUUCGGAAAUGCGAGAGCGGCGUACGGGUGCGUAACACGUGUGCAACCUGCCUUUAUCUGGGGGAUAGCCUUUCGAAAGGAAGAUUAAUACUCCAUAAUAUAUUGAACGGCAUCGUUUAAUAUUGAAAGCUCCGGCGGAUAGAGAUGGGCACGCGCAAGAUUAGCUAGUUGGUGAGGUAACGGCUCACCAAGGCGAUGAUCUUUAGGGGGCCUGAGAGGGUGAUCCCCCACACUGGUACUGAGACACGGACCAGACUCCUACGGGAGGCAGCAGUGAGGAAGAUUGGUCAAUGGGUGCAAGCCUGAACCAGCCAUCCCGCGUGAAGGACGACUGCCCUAUGGGUUGUAAACUUCUUUUGUAUAGGGAUAAACCUACCCUCGAGAGGGUAGCUGAAGGUACUAUACGAAUAAGCACCGGCUAACUCCGUG
rnacentral:rRNA from 1 species